rnacentral:rRNA from 1 species
CCUACGGGUGGCAGCAGUGAGGAAUAUUGGUCAAUGGACGAGAGUCUGAACCAGCCAAGUAGCGUGAAGGAUGACUGCCCUAUGGGUUGUAAACUUCUUUUAUAUGGGAAUAAAACGUUCCACGUGUGGGAUUUUGUAUGUACCAUAUGAAUAAGGAACGGCUAACUCCGUGCCAGCAGCCGCGGUAAUACGGAGGAUCCGAGCGUUAUCCGGAUUUAUUGGGUUUAAAGGGAGCGUAGGUGGAUUGUUAAGUCAGUUGUGAAAGUUUGCGGCUCAACCGUAAAAUUGCCGUUGAAACUGGCAGUCUUGAGUACAGUAGAGGUAGGCGGAAUUCGUGGUGUAGCGGUGAAAUGCUUAGAUAUCACGAAGAACUCCGAUUGCGAAGGCAGUUCACUGGACUGCAACUGACACUGAGGCUCGAAAGUGUGGGUAUCAAACAGGAUUAGAUACCCUUGUAGUC